rnacentral:rRNA from 1 species
GACGAACGCUGGCGGCGUGCCUAAUACAUGCAAGUCGAACGCUGAAGAGAGGAGCUUACUCUUCUUGGAUGAGUUGCGAACGGGUGAGUAACGCGUAGGUAACCUGCCUUGUAGCGGGGGAUAACUAUUGGAAACGAUAGCUAAUACCGCAUAACAAUGGAUGACACAUGUCAUUUAUUUGAAAGGGGCAAUUGCUCCACUACAAGAUGGACCUGCGUUGUAUUAGCUAGUAGGUGAGGUAAUGGCUCACCUAGGCGACGAUACAUAGCCGACCUGAGAGGGUGAUCGGCCACACUGGGACUGAGACACGGCCCAGACGCCUACGGGAGGCAGCAGUAGGGAAUCUUCGGCAAUGGGGGCAACCCUGACCGAGCAACGCCGCGUGAGUGAAGAAGGUUUUCGGAUCGUAAAGCUCUGUUGUAAGUCAAGAACGGGUGUGAGAGUGGAAAGUUCACACUGUGACGGUAGCUUACCAGAAAGAGACGGCUAACUACGUG